UACGAAGGGGGCUAGCGUUGUUCGGAAUCACUGGGCGUAAAGGGUGCGUAGGCGGCUUUAUAAGUCGGGGGUGAAAGCCUGUGGCUCAACCACAGAAUUGCCUUCGAUACUGUAGAGCUUGAGACCGGAAGAGGUAAGUGGAACUGCGAGUGUAGAGGUGAAAUUCGUAGAUAUUCGCAGGAACACCAGUGGCGAAGGCGGCUUACUGGUCCGGUUCUGACGCUGAGGCGCGAAAGCGUGGGGAGCAAACAGG
rnacentral:rRNA from 1 species